GCAUAUCAAUAAGCGGAGGAAAAGAAACCAACAGGGAUUGCCUUAGUAACGGCGAGUGAAGCGGCAACAGCUCAAAUUUGAAAGCUGGCCCUUUUAGGGUCCGCGUUGUAAUUUGUAGAGGAUGAUUCGGCGAGGGCUCCCGCCUAAGUCCCCUGGAACGGGGCGUCAUAGAGGGUGAGAAUCCCGUAUGCGGUGGGCUGCCUUAGCCAUGUGAAUCUCCUUCGACGAGUCGAGUUGUUUGGGAAUGCAGCUCUAAAUGGGAGGUAAAUUUCUUCUAAAGCUAAAUACCGGCCAGAGACCGAUAGCGCACAAGUAGAGUGAUCGAAAGAUGAAAAGCACUUUGGAAAGAGAGUUAAAAAGUACGUGAAAUUGUUGAAAGGGAAGCGCUUGCAACCAGACUUGUCCGCAGUUGCUCAGCCGGUCUCCUGACCGGCGCACUCUUCUGCGGCCAGGCCAGCAUCAGUUCGGGCGGUCGGAUAAAGACCUCGGGAAUGUAGCUCCUCUCGGGGAGUGUUAUAGCCCGGGGUGCAAUGCGGCCAGCCUGGACUGAGGAUCUCGCUUCGGCAAGGAUGCUGGCGUAAUGGUUGUAAGCGGCCCGUCUUGAAACACGGACC
rnacentral:rRNA from 1 species